rnacentral:rRNA from 1 species
GGCGAACGGGUGAGUAAUGCAUCGGAACGUAUCCUUAAGUGGGGGAUAACGCAUCGAAAGAUGCGCUAAUACCGCAUAAUCUCUGAGGAGAAAAGCAGGGGAUCGCAAGACCUUGCGCUUUUGGAGCGGCCGAUGCCUGAUUAGCUUGUUGGUGAGGUAAAGGCUUACCAAGGCUUCGAUCAGUAGCUGGUCUGAGAGGACGACCAGCCACACUGGGACUGAGACACGGCCCAGACUCCUACGGGAGGCAGCAGUGGGGAAUUUUGGACAAUGGGGGAAACCCUGAUCCAGCCAUGCCGCGUGAGUGAAGAAGGCCUUCGGGUUGUAAAGCUCUUUCAGCCGGAACGAAACGGUCACGGUGAAUAACCGUGACUACUGACGGUACCGGAAGAAGAAGCACCGGCUAACUACGUGCCAGCAGCCGCGGUAAUACGUAGGGUGCGAGCGUUAAUCGGAAUUACUGGGCGUAAAGCGUGCGCAGGCGGUUUUGUAAGUCAGAUGUGAAAUCCCCGGGCUUAACCUGGGAACUGCGUUUGAAACUACAAGGCUAGAGUGUGGCAGAGGGGGGUGGAAUUCCACGUGUAGCAGUGAAAUGCGUAGAGAUGUGGAGGAACACCGAUGGCGAAGGCAGCC